AUGUGUUUGUGGUUCCUGUGGAGACCAGAGGGGGUCUCCACAGGCGACCACAGAUGUCAUAGAACUGAACUUACAGAGGAUUGUGAGCUGUCAAGAGGAUGCUGGGAGUUGGGCCUGGGUCCUUUGCAAGAACAGCACAUGCUCAUGACUGGUAAGCCAUGGUUGGUGCUGCUGGCAUGGUUCCAGCUCCAUGGCUAAUACUUUAGAGGUGUAUUUUAUGCCACUGCUCAGAGCUGCUCGAGGAGGACUGAGCUACACUGGCAUACUGUGGCUGGAUCGCAUAACACACUAUUUUGUUCUGCCCAACCCUCCAUUUCAGCACUAGAGGAAGGAACUGUGCAAAGGAGUCAUUCUGUGUGCACACACAAGCUCAACUUGAGGGAACCUUUGCUACCUACGACCACACAUCUCUACUCCGUUUCCAGUCAUGUUUCCUGUCUCUCCCAUAUCAGAUUCUAGUACCAACAUCUUGGCUUAAAGUGAACAAAAGUUUGCACUGAUGUGGAAUCAUCACACUUCCUCUGAGCUUCCUACUGCAGCAGUGCAUAUAAACUUGGAGAGAAAUCACAUCAAAAAUCCUAGUGUGAGAAUCAUGGGAACUGUGAGACCUAAGCCCAUCCCAUUGCUGGCAAACAGGCCCCAAACAUCCUUGCCUUCAGCAAUGAAAAACUCCAACUGGAAGGUCGCAGCCCUCUUGAGCUGAGCUGUGAUCUCAGCACACCAUGCUCAUGAUAAGAAGAUCUCCAUUAUUUGGUUCUGUAUUUGUUAUAGCGAGAUUAUUUUACCUCUCUUUUUCAAAGCAAUAAACAAAUUUAAAACUGAAAUUAAGUGAGAAACCAUUCCUUCCAGAAAAGCUAGGAACAAUUAAUUCUCUAGAAGACCAUGAGAGGUUUUCGUUCUCAAAUAAGUUAUAAAUAAUAUCCAUGGGGUUACAGAGUUGGACAGUCAAGGCAUUGUGGUAAGGAAGAGAUGACACACUCACUUUUAAAAGACCAGUGCAAUUCCACAGCCCUUCCUUUAGGGACUCUCAUGGUACUUUGUUCUGUGAUUGACGUAGGACUUCUACACUAAAACAGUGAUGAUUUCUGCACACUGAGACUACUGCAAAUGCAUGCAAAGGGAUUUAUAAACUUUGCAAGUAUAUAUUUUCAGACUAAAGCCAUUUUGGAGAAAUUGUAUAUUUAUUUACAUUUGUAUAUUAAUGUAUUACUAGUAUACCUUAAGAAAUGUUUAAUUUAUACAGCUACUGAUAGGUUUUAUUGUAGUCAUGUCCAUUUUUAGAAAUUGUUCAUUUUCUUUUUAUGAUCAGUUUAAAUGCCUGUGACUGUGAGCAUAUAAAUACAAUAGGUGUCCAUUAAGAUCAAUAUAUAUGUCAUUUUCCCCACCGUAUAGCAAACAUUUUCCAGUUAAAUAAAGUCAAGCUACAAAGCUCUUGUCCUCUAGGGGAAACUAGUGUUUUCUAGAGUGUGUGUUUAAAUUCACCAGGCCUGCUUCAGAGACAUGAAUCUCAUUUGCACAUAAAUCUGUGAUUUGUUCCUUUUGGACUCAUCAGUGUGAACAAGUAUGAGAAAUCACAGGCAUUUAUAAAGAUGUUCUGCAGGAAAACCACUCGAUAUCAAAGGUCAGGCUAAACCAUUUCCAGAUUACAUGUCAGCCAUUCUUUCUCUCAUUCAGCAAACCGUUUACACAUAAACUAGACUGGAGAAUUUAACCAAUGCUUACUUUAAAAGCUCUAUUUGAUUUGAUCUGAGUAAGGCUUAAGGUAUUCACUGAGAUACUUGAUUAUGUGAUUUCUUAUAUUACCUCCUUUGUGGUUAAUAUCUAUUAGAUGGCAUUAUAAAAAAAUGAAAGUUUGGAAACUAUGACAGCUCAAAUUAUUGAAACUGAAUUUAGAUAAUUACACAAAUUGUCAUAUUUAUUAUAAUCUAUUUUGCUUAUUAGUCUCAAUGGACAGUUAUUUAAUUUAGAAAUAUUACUUGCCACUUAUCCAUAACAGAAUAAAUAUUCUUUAAUGGUAACUGAUUAUUGAAAGUAAAUUAAAACAAGCAAAUAAACACAGUAGAAGAGAAAUAAAAAAUUGGUAACUGUAGUCCAAUAAAUUUAUGUCAAUA